AUUGAACGCUGGCGGCAGGCUUAACACAUGCAAGUCGAGCGGAGUGAUGGUGCUUGCACUAUCACUUAGCGGCGGACGGGUGAGUAAUGCUUAGGAAUCUGCCUAUUAGUGGGGGACAACAUCUCGAAAGGGAUGCUAAUACCGCAUACGUCCUACGGGAGAAAGCAGGGGAUCACUUGUGACCUUGCGCUAAUAGAUGAGCCUAAGUCGGAUUAGCUAGUUGGUGGGGUAAAGGCCCACCAAGGCGACGAUCUGUAGCGGGUCUGAGAGGAUGAUCCGCCACACUGGGACUGGGACACGGCCCAGAAUCCUACGGGAGGCAGCAGUGGGGAAUAUUGGACAAUGGGGGGAACCCUGAUCCAGCCAUGCCGCGUGUGUGAAGAAGGCCUUAUGGUUGUAAAGCACUUUAAGCGAGGAGGAGGCUCUUUUGGUUAAUACCCAAGAUGAGUGGACGUUACUCGCAGAAUAAGCACCGGCUAACUCUGUGCCAGCCGCCGCAGUAA
rnacentral:rRNA from 1 species